CACAGCAUGGUUUUACACAUGUAUCUGGUCUGGCUCCUUUGCCUCUUGGGUGAAGGCUCAGAAGGACUCAUUGUGAUAACUCAGACACCCCUGGUCUCUGCAUUUCCAGGAGAGCCAGUCAGUUUUCAAUGCAAGGCUGACAGUAACGUUGAUGAUGAAAUGAAUGUAUAUCUAUUCAGAUCAGGAGAAGCUCCCAAGCCCAUCAUGUAUCAUGCAACCAACCGCUUCCCAGGGGUCCCAGAUCGGUUUCGUGGUAGUGGAAGAGGAACUGACUUCACGUUCGCCAUCAGUCAUUUUCAUGCUGAAGAUGCAGGAGAAUAUUUUUGUGGACAUGACUAUGGCUAUGAUUUCACACACAGUGAUACGGUCCAAUACAAAAACCUCUUAAGCCCCAGAGCCCUCUUGGUGCAUGUGAGACCAGAUGGGGAUGUUUCUUAUUCAAUGUAUAAUGAAACACUAACUUGA